CUUGCUAAUACAGGCCACCAAUCGCUCUAACUCAUAUCCGAAUGAUAUGAAAAGGUUUUCGUUAGCGGGACUUCCGGAUAUGCGUUGGAGGGACUUUUUAUCUUCGCCUCGGCGAGACCACUUCUUUGACAGCAGAGAAAAAGAUAGAAAAAUGCGGCGCCUAGAAAAACCAUGAAUGAACCUACAAGAGGAGACUUACCGAUACGAAGCUGACAUGGAUAUAAAGUAAAUGAAGCAAAGAUACACCCUUCCAAAAGACUUGGCAUUAAAUUGGACACAUUUUGAUUGCUAUUGUUACCAGUACACUAUGAUUCAAUAAUUUGAGUAAUAUACACGUUUUGUGUUGUAUUGCAAAAACUAAAAUAAAGUAAAACACAUUG